GACGAACGCUGGCGGCGUGCCUAAUACAUGCAAGUUGAGCGCUGAAGGAGGGUACUUGUCCCAACUGGAUGAGCAGCGAACGGGUGAGUAACGCGUGGGGAAUCUGCCUUUGAGCGGGGGACAACAUUUGGAAACGAAUGCUAAUACCGCAUAAAAACUUUAAACACAAGUUUUAAGUUUGAAAGAUGCAAUUGCAUCACUCAAAGAUGAUCCCGCGUUGUAUUAGCUAGUUGGUGAGGUAAAGGCUCACCAAGGCGAUGAUACAUAGCCGACCUGAGAGGGUGAUCGGCCACAUUGGGACUGAGGCACGGCCCAAACUCCUACGGGAGGCAGCAGUAGGGAAUCUUCGGCAAUGGACGAAAGUCUGACCGAGCAACGCCGCGUGAGUGAAGAAGGUUUUCGGAUCGUAAAACUCUGUUGGUAGAGAAGAACGUUGGUGAGAGUGGAAAGCUCAUCAAGUGACGGUAACUACCCAGAAAGGGACGGCUAACUACGUG
rnacentral:rRNA from 1 species